rnacentral:tRNA from 1 species
GCACGUAUGGCGGAAUUGGUAGACGCGCAGGCUUGAGGGGCUUGUGUUCGUAAGAACGUGCGGGUUCGACUCCCGCUAUGUGCACCA